UUAAGGUCCUUUUUUUUUUUUACAGAUGUGGUUUCAGUAUCACUUACUGAAAGGCUGUUCUCAACUGAAUUAAAGAAGAAUGUUUUCCAUAAAUCAAAUGACUGUAUAUGGAAUAGGGCUAUUUAUGGCCUCUCUGUUCUGUUCUACCAAUUCAUUUGUCUAUACUUGAGCCACUAUCCUAUUAUCAUAAUUACUCUAACCUCAUAGUGAUAUUCCAGGCAGUGAGAGGAGUAAGAGAUCUGAGUUCAGUCAUGUGACCAACGAUUGGAGCUUGCAUGCCUACAUAAUAAAACUUUGAUAAAAACCCUAGACACUGAGGCUUGGGUGAGCUUCCCUGGUUGGCAAGCAUACAUCAAUAUGAUAGGUAGGUGAUGUGUCCUAAGGACAAAGAAACUUCAUGUAUCAGACCCUCCCAGCUCACCUUACCCAAUGCACCUCUUCAUUUGGCUGGUCCUGAAUUGUAUCCUUUAUAAUCAAAGUAAAAAAAGUAAAGCACUUAGCUGAGUGUUUUGUGUCAUUCUAGAAAGAUAUCAAACCUAGGGGGAGAAGGGAACCCUUGAAUUUGUAGUCAAUUGAUUAGAAAGGUGUGCAGUUCCUUGCCACUGGUGUCUAAAGUGAGGGAGGUUUUCUGGAGAACUGAGGUUUUAAUAUGUGAAGUCUGCACUAACUCUGGGUAGUCAACAUCACGAGUGUAUAGCAGGCACAUGCACAUUAAAGAUUGCUUUAUAUUUUUAGAGAAUUGGCUCCUUUGCAAUUACACAAUUUCCCUCUUAUCCUUGUUCUGAGGUUGGCUUUGUCUGAAAUAUAGCUAAUACAAGUUUAUUUUGAUUCAUGUUAGCAUAGUCUAUCUUUAUUGCUUAAUUUUUAAUCUAUCUGUACCUGUGGGUUACCUGUUGACAACAUAUAGUAGGGUGUUUUUUUCUUUGGGUGUUGUUAAACCCACUAACAGUCAAACUGGUUAUCGAUACAGUCAGGUUAAUAUCUACUGUACUUGUAACUUUUCUAUUCAUUGCCCUUCUCUUUAUUUAUUUGUCUUCCACUCUUUUCUUGCCUUCUCUGAUUUUAAUUUAGCAUUUUAUAUGAUUCCAUUUUCUCUCCUGUCCUAACAUAUAGAUUAUACUUCUUUUUAACUAUUUUUUUUUUCGUGGUUGCCUUACAGUUAGAAACAUAGAUUUUCACUGAAGACAAGUCCACUUUCAAAUAACACCAUACUGUUUCAUGGGUAGAAUAAGUACCUUAAAACAUCAUAUUCCAAGUUAUGUCCUCCUGUCCCUUUUAAUAUUGUGAUCAUUUAUUUCAGCUAUCCAUAAGCUAUAAUUUCCAAAUACAAGGUUAUCAUUUUGAACAAGCUGUUAUCUGUGAGAUAAAUUAAGAAUAUGAAAAAAUAUUUUAUUUUACCUUCAUUUAUUCCUUUUCUAAUGUUCUUCUUUUCUUUAUGAAGGUCUGAUUUUCUCACCUAUAUCAUUUUCCUUCUCUCUGAAGAACUUUUAACAUUUCUUGCAAGGCAGUUCUACUGGCAACAAAUUUCCUCAAAUUUUGUCUGAGAAAGUCUUUAUUUUGUUCUCCACUUUUGAAUAAUAAUUUCACUGGUUGAUAAUUGCUAGGCUGGUGAUUCUUUCUUUUUUUAACAGUUAAAAUAUUUUACUCCAGUCUCUUCUUACUUGCAUGGUUUCUGAAAAGAAGUCUGUUGUAAUUCUUAUCCUUAUUCUUCUGUUGGUAAGUUGCUUUUUCUUCUCAGGCCCUUUCAAGAUUUUCUCUUGAUCUUUGAUUUUCUGCAGUUUAAAUAUAAUAUACUGGUGUAAUAUUUUUUGGUAUUUACCCUACUUAGUGUUCUCUGAGCUUUCUGGAUCUGUGGUUUGGUGACUGUCAUUAAUUUGGAAUGUUCUCAGCCAUUAUUACCAUUCAAAUAGUUCUUCUGUCCUUUUCUCUCAUUUUUAUCCUUCUAAUAUUCCCAUUACAUGCAUGUUAUACCUUUUUCAAAAGUUCCAUAGUUCUUACAUUCUGUUCCAUAUUUUUUUUUCUCCUUGCAUUUCAGUUUUUGAAGUUUGUAUUGACAUAUCUUCAAGCCCACUGAUUUUUUCCUUGGCUAUGUCCAGUCUGCUGAUAACCCCAUCAAAGGCAUUUUUCCUUUAUUUUACAGAGUUUUUGAUUCCCAGAAUUUCCCUUUGCUUCUUAAAACUUCAGUAUCUCUCUUUACGUUGCCCAUCUGUUCUUGCAUAUUGUCCACUUUUCCACUGAAGACCUUAACAUAUCAAUCAUAGUUAUUUUAAUUCCCAAAUCUCUGCCAUGUCUGUGUCUGGUUCUGAUGCUUACUUUAUUACUUCCGACUGUGAGGGGUUUUUUUUUCUUUUGCCUUUUAGCUCACCUUGUAAUUUUUUGCUGAAAACCAGACAUGAUGUAUUGGGCAAAAAGAACUCAAUUAGAUAGGCCUUUAGUGUGAAGUUUUAUGUUUAUCUGGCUAGGAGUUAGGUGGUGUUUAUUGUUUGCUGUAGCUGUGAUGUCAGAGACCAAAAUAUCUUUUAGUGUCCUUGUUUUUGUCUCCCUUGUUAUUUUGGGUUUUCCUAGACAUUUUAAAUAGUGUCUGAGGCCUGCAGUUCUUUCAGCUGUAAUCCUCUAUUAUUAUACAGGAGCUGGAUUGAUGUGGUAAUAAGGUGUAGGGGGAGGGGAACUUAUCUAUAGUCCUAUAAUUAGAUUUCAGGUUUUUAGUAAACCUGAGUUGGGUAUUUUCCCUUUCCCCAGGGUGGUUAGUCGUCAGUAAAACCACAGUAAAUUAGACACUAUAAGUUAGUUUCCUUUGGCGGCAGGUCUUGUUAAGGGGAAGAGUGAACUCUGGGUGUGUUUCAAAAUGGUUAUUUUCCCCUCCCCCUGCUGGAAGCAUGAGGGGAUUUUCUCCAGUCUUCACAGUGAGAACCUGGUAGAACUCAUGGAGACAAAACUCACAAAUGUAGGGGGCCCCCCUAAAACUAGACCCUCUCAGAGUUUCAACCUCUCAUGCUUAUCACACUGAACCUUCAGCAACUUGCCAAUUAUAGUUUAGAAAAUUCCUACCAAUGCUGGCAGUAGUGAAGGGUUUCUACUCCAUGUAAGCUCUGGUUCUCUGAAUUCACCUAUUGGUCUCUCCAGUUUUCAGGGCAACAGUUUCCCCCAUGACCCAAUUCUCUGUUGGAUCUAAGAAGAGUUGUUGAUUUUCAUUUGGUUCAGCUUUUUUCUUGUCAUGAAGACAUGAGUGAAGACUUCAAGCUCUUUACUUGUUGGACCAGAAAUCAGAAGUUCACCAGGUAUGUUUUUGAAAGUUAAAUUAACAUAUUGAGCCACCAUAUGUUCAUAUCAGCAGGAAGAGUAUGUCUUUAUCUUGGCAACUCCUGGGUGGAUGGUCCAAUAGAAUACCAGCACUUAGUCUAGUUAGUGGACCUUUCAGAUAUUCAACAGAGAGAAAUUGCAGAAUAUGACCAGUCCACUAGCAAAUUUCCCUUUUUAUCCCAUGCCAUUGCAAUGACUAUGCUACCAUUGAAAAGAUGUGGCUCUCGCAUCCCAAUGCUGCCUACAGAUCCUAUAAUGUUACUUGCAGCUGAGACUAUAGUACUUUUUUGAGGGUGACCUUAGUCUAUCUCAAUGUUAUGCAUGUGUACAUGUACUCUACUUUUGGACUCCUGAGGUUAUAACAGCCGCCCUUACACAUUCAGCCAAUGUCCCAAAGUGAACCCACUAUACCAGGGUAGAUAAUUUAAUAGGGGCAUCUACAAACUUAUACUAUCUUGUUGUCAUGGUGAAUUCCCUCUCACUUGAACUUCCUUUCCUAUUAAGUAGGACUCAUUCAGACCUGAUAAGCUGAAAUAGAGUCUCAGUUUAUCAGAUCUUUAAAAGGGAAGAGUUCAGGUCUAGAUCCAUCUGAUUCACCCACUUGCUAUCCAGAGACUAGUUCUGUACUCCAAGAGGUAUAGAAAGAGGUAUAGUUAAGACGACUGUAGAUCUUCAGAGGAAUAUCCUGAGGGUGGAACUGUGUGGCUUGCAUUUGCUUAGAGCCAGAAAUGUCUGGGAAUUUAUAUCUAGCUUCCUCCCCCAAUUGCCCUUCACUAAGGUUCUGCCCUGCCCUUCACCUCAGGUUGGAGGUGAAGUGAAAUUAACACUCCAAGUUUCCUCCGUGGGAUGAGGAUGAAGCUAAUUCAUAUCCUUGCUUGGUUUCCUUCCUUUCCUUGUCCUGCUUCCUCCCCAUCCUUACCCAUUCCCUUUGGAAGCAUUUCCCUAAUCAACCACUUCCUCAUGGCUCUCAUCUUGGAGUCUGAUCCUGGAGAACUCAACUUAAGACAUCAUCCAAAGGGCUCAAGAUGGUGAAUGCCUUUUGGUCUUAAAUUUUCACAGCCAAAAGGGUUGAUCUACUCCAAAAUGAUCUGUUUCCUCCAAGUGAAGUAACUGACACUAUAUUUAAAUAGCCGUUGCUCAUAUAAAUAAAGGAACUUUUCUAUUCCUGCCCAACCAAAUUAUUUGCUAUUGCUUGUUUCCAAUCUUUUUACUUAAUAUUUUUCUUGUGACUAGCCCUUAGAGGCCCACAAAGAUCAGGGCCCACAGUAGCUAAAUAAUUCAUUUGAUUGACCACCAUAUUCAAAGAAGUUUGCUUGAGUAUUUACUCUGAAAUCAGUUUAGACUUUCUGACUCUUCCUAUUUCCAGCUUCUCUUUUUCUCUUUUAGUGACUUCAUUCAGGCAAAAAUGCCACCCACAUCUCCCCCCACUUGCCCAGUCAAAACCUAUUUAUGAGAAAUGAUUAAACCAGUCUGUGGCUGAAAUUCACAGGCUACUUUUAUUCUCUUAAAAAGGAUGGGGAGAAGAGAUUCAGAGUAUUUAAAAUAUACUCUUUCCUUGCACACUAAAAAGCUUUGGAUAUUAUUCAAAAUAUUCCAGGGGCCAGACAAUAAGUAUGAGGAGAAAUUUAGAGGAUGAGGCCCUUGAACGUACCUCCUUGCAUCUGUCCCUGGUGAGUGAAAGUUGGUUGUAGGCAAUUUCUUACUUAGAGUUUGUAAGUUAAUCACAGCAGAAAGAUGAGUAGUUCUUACUGGAUGGACUCCCCUCUGCCUCCAUCUCUGUACCUCACCUGGUGCUGGUAAGAGCUCAGGACCAGGUAACUUUGGCUCCAACCCAGCCAUACUGGUGGCCAGGGAUAGUCUAUACAGUGUGGUGGGCAGCCCUUGGGUUCAGGAGAAGACAGACUUGGCUCUGAUCCUGGCUUUGCACUUGCCAGCUCUGUGACCUUAAGAAAGUCACUCAACCUCCCUAUGGCUCCAUUCCCCUGGAUAUAAAAUGAAGAUAAUAAUACUGACCCUCACGAGCUGUUAUAAAGCAUCAAUCUAACAUAUACAGUGGUCAAUACCAAAUAAAUACCAGAGAAAUAUUAAUCCCUCUAAUCCUUCUAUAAUUAAAGCUUCAGUAAAUGAUGUUGGGUUUAUCUGAGUCAUUUUUCUGCUUCCCUGGUUCAGAAACUGCCCACCCCAAUUAAUGUUCCAGAACAUCAAAAUUAAUGUUCCAGAACAUCAAAAUUAGAAGGCACUUUCCCAUCACUUUGUUCAACCCAUCCAUUUUGCAGGUGAUGAAACUGAGGCCUGGAGCAUUCAGAGCCUUGUUUAAAAGCCUGCUGUUUCUUUUCUAUUGCUCUUUGCCCUACACCUUAUUAAUUAUCACCCUUUUGAAGUCUGUGUUUACAAAUCCUGGCUAAUGUUUAGUUGUUUGCAUCUCCAGUAUUAUUUUGUGAGGUGUUGCCUCAUGGGGUUAUUUUAGGUCUUUUGCAAUGGUUUCCCAAAAAAGUAAUGCUAUGGAUGCCUCACAGCUCUCCAGAAGUGCCAGGCUGAUUCAUGAACCCUAGCCAUGGCACCCAGAUACUUCAUUCCUGAGAGAGGGCUGUUCUCUCUGGAUACAUUUGUCCUCUGGAAGAAAGACCCUUCUUCUUUGGCCUUGGUGGUAAACCUGGAGGGGAACAGUUCAGUCAGCUUCCUGGCCUUUAAUGGGUGACUGUGCCGAGACAGUUGUGCUCAGGAGGCAAGAGGGGGCAACCCUCCUUCUGUCCCCAUGCCAGUGUCAUUGGAAGAUCCAGGGAUUCAGGGGACUAGCUGUAGGGCCAGAAGCCUCAAGCAGCCUCAACAACUUCCUUUGCAGCCUUCCUACCCUUUCCUGCAGAGUGGCUCCAGUAGCGCCUUCAUGAGCAUGAAAGUGAUGAGAACAGCCCAGUCGGAACACAGUCAUAAAGGCAUCUUCCAAAAGUAUUGUCUUCAUAGUGGGCAAUGCAGUAAGUUCUACCAGAAAGAACAGGAGAGACGUGACUGAAACACCUUCAGAGCCUUGUCAGGUCACAGCACCCCUCUACAAUGCCACUUUCAUUCUCUGGUUUCUGGGACAACCUUGGGAGAUUUCAAAUUCUGAAUGUUGACAGACUUUGAUCCCUGAGACAACUUCUAGCUGGCAAAUUCUCCAAAUAUGAUUACCUCCAAUAUAUGAGCUCAUUUCUCUGUACUUACUCCCAAAUGGUGAACAUCGAUUUGCGACAUUAAUGAAGUAAGUACCCAACUAUCCUUGUUCAUGAGCUAUUACCUCGGUAUUGAUUGUAGACUUAAUUGACAAUUACUUGAGUAGGCUGGGCUAUACUGAGCUUUUAUUAAUUUUCCAUGGUGAUACUCAUUACUAAACUUCAUUGCAAUUGUGUAACAAUGUACACUCCCCCCUGUAGCUCACUGAACUGGAAAAUUCCACUGGCCAUUUCCCAAACCUCUUUAUCCUGGAAAAUAAAGAAUUUUGCUAUUGCUAAAUUUGAUAUCAGGAUUCUAGACCUCGAUUCUGUGGGGAGAGAAUUGGCUGUGAAAAUAAAUAGAAUUUGCUAAAUUAUUUUUUCUUCACUGUUAUUUCAGAGAACAUGUUGUAUCCACGGACUUUAUUCUAUCCCUUGCUUCCUAGAGGGACAAUGAACUCCAUGCUACUGUAAAAUUAUAUUCAUUCUUCUUUCUCCCUUUUCUUUUUUUUUUUUUUAAAUUAAGGGUGUGGAGAAGGCAGCAAGGUAGAGGAGAUUUUGUGGUUUUAGGGAAGAGGAGUUUGGGUUUCCAGGAGUGGUAAAUCACAGGAAGGUAUAUAGAGAAGGGAAACUAAUGGUACAUAAGGUUAUAUAAUAAGGUUUAUUUAUGCAGACGCAUCUCAAUGCCAUCUCUGUCUCCAGUGAUAAGGGCUGUGCUCUCCUUCCUGGGAUGGGAGCAGGAAGCAGAAAACCAUCAGGAAGAAAAAUUUAUGCUCUGUUCUUAGGCAGAUCAGUGGAGUGCAGAGAGCCCCCCUUUUGUCUGCCAUCUCUCCAUAGCCUUCAGCUUAAAAUAAUCCUUAUUCCCAAGUGGCAUAUUAGGUGGGACGUGGGGGAGGGGGCAAUAUUCUGAUUCCCUUUAAAGGUAAUUCGGAAAUGUGAUUUCUGAUACCUGAUUGAGCAGAGCAAUGGUUUUAAUGUGACAUAAAUUGAUUAGAGUUGGAAUUCACUUCAUUAUGAGCUAAUGAAUGGAGACAUUCUUGUAGUUUUCUGGGAGAGUCAGUGCUGCAACAGAGAGGUUUGUCCGUAAAGGAACUGAUGGAUAUUUGGUGUAGCUGUUCUAGAAACAUAACCAGUGAAUAUCCACAAAAUUUUCCGGAAAAAUAUUGAUUGGCAUUCAACAAAUUCAACUCUCAAUUAAUCGGACAAGUGCAGAUUUUGUUUGUUCUGUUUUGUUGACCAUUAUCCACUCAUGAGAAGUCAAUGAUAAGAAAACUAGCUCCUGUUGGAAAGGAUGUUUUGAAAGAGAAAAAUUAACAUAGAUGAGUUUACUUUGAGCACAAUCAUCUUUGCCUUGUAUGAAAGGCUAUGUAAUGUAGUGGAAAAUGCCCUCCACUAGGAAUCAAAAUUCUUAUGGUUUCAUGCUUCUGGACCUCAUUAUAAUAUGGCCUGUAUAACCUCUGAGGCACUUUCUGUGCUCUUAAACGCCACAAACUUGAUCUUGAGACAUUGAGUUCUGGGAAGGUAAAAUAAUGGAAAGAGUACUGUACUGGAAGGCCAGAACAUUGCUUUGAGCUGUUGUUUCCCCAGCCAGCUGUGUGACCUUGGAGAAGUCACUUCAGCUUCCUGUGCCUCACUUUUUUCCUCUGUACCAUGGGGUGCUAGUGACCCAGGUCACAUUCCUCUUCUCAGGUCCUUCAGUUCAACAUGGUAAGCAAUGGCUUCUGUUGUAGUUACUUGUUUUUUUUUGGGGGGGGGGGUUGUUUUUGUUUUAAGUUUAUUUAUUUUCAGAGAGAGAGAGAAGGGAGGGUUAGGGGCAGAGAGAGAGGCAGAGAAUGAAUCCCAAGCAGGCUUUGUGCUGUCAACAGAGCCUGAUGCAAGACUCAAUUUCACAUGAGAUCAUGACCUGAGCUGAAAUCAAGAGUUGAACACUUAACCAACUGAGCCAUCCAGGUGCCCCAUGUUGUGGUUAGUUCUGUGCAUAGACUUGGUGAGGCUAUAGUGCCCAAUAAUUUAAUCAAAUGUAAAUCCAGGUUUCAUUGUGAAGAUUAUUUUGUGGAUGUAGUUGACAUCCACAGUCAGUUGACUUUAAGUAAAGGAGAUGAUGCUCAAUAAUGUGGGUGGGUCUUUUCUAAUCCAUUGGAAGUUAAGAACAAAACUGAGGUUUCUUGGAGAAGAAAUGUUCUGCCUCAAGACUGCAGCUUUAAUCCCUGCCUGAGUUUAGGUUUUUCCAGACUGUUCUGUGGAUUUUGGACUUGCCAGCUCCCACAAUCAUCUGAGCCAAUUUCUUAAAAUAAAUCUCUUAGCAUACACACACACACACACACACACAUAUAUAUAUAUAUAUAUAUAUAUAUAUAUAUGUUUAUUUUAUUGGUUCUUUUCUCUGAGGAACACUGAUACAACUCUCCAGGUGAGACAAUCAAUUUGUGGCCAUCAAAGGAAGAUGCACUUAUAUUUCUUCUACUUACUACGGUAAGAGUAGGGAUAGAAACAUAGAGCACACGUUACCUCAGUGGCUAUAUUCAGCCCACAAACAUUUUUUCUCGGGCCCACAUAGUUUAUUUCUUUUGAAUUAGUUGACAACAUUUAAACAUGAGAUAUCACUUAAAGUGUGACUUUCUCUUUCUCUUAAAUAACUGGAGAUCUAGCAACCUGAGGCCUGUAUUCUUGCAAGAGACUAAUCAGCUUGAACGAAAUCCUCAAACUGGGUCACCUCAAACUUGUCACCCUGGGGAGACACAAAGGUUUUCCAAGGAGUAUCAAUUUUCAGACAUUCAACUUCCAUAUGUUCCCAUUUCUAUAGCUGAUCUGCUUGCAACCUGCUUGCCUCCUGAGCUGUCACAUUUGUCCUUUCUCUCUCAGCUCCCCUUUCGGAUCACCCUUCUCCCACCUCACAAAAUGAGGUCAAUAUGGAAAUAAUGCUGCCCAGCUAUAACUUCCACACAGGACUUGCAUCCCAUAGUGGGCUGAAUGGUGACCCCUAAAAGAUAUGUCCAUCUGGAACCUCAGAAUGUUAACUUAUAUGGAAUAAAAGCUUUUGUAGAUGUAAUUAAGGUAAAGAUCUUGAGACAAAAUCAUCCUGUAUUACAGUAGAUUAUAAAUCCAAUGGCAGGUGUCUUUAUAAGAAGCUGAAAAGUAGAAAACAGCCACAGAGAUGCCGAGGGGAAGGCCAUGUGAAGACAGAGGCAGAGAUAAGAGUGAUGCUACAAGCCAAGGGGCACUAAGGAACACCAGGAGCCAGCAGAAGCUUCAAGACAGGAGGCAUGGAACAAAUUCUCCCCCUGAGCCUCCAGAAGGAACAAAUUCUCCCCCAGAGCAUCCAAAAGGAACCAGCCCUGCUGACAUCUUAAUUUUGGACUUCUGGCCUCCAGCACUGUGAGAGAAUAAAUUUGUUACUUCAAGCCACCACGUUUGUGGUAAUUGGUUAUGGCAGACCUAGAAAACUAAUAUACUCCCCUCUGGGGGGAGCUCCUUCAAGGUUGGCCUCAGCUGCAGGGGGCCACCCUGACUGAAGUCACACCCUUUCCAGGACAGCCCCACAUCUGACAAUGAAGCAUGUGGGGUACUUGUCACCAACACAAGUCUAAUGGGCAGUGUUCACUUCAGCUCUGGCUGUUGGGAGUCUUCACCAAUUUCCUCUCGUCCAGGCUUCCUUUCUCUUCCUUCUCUACACAUGUGUUGAUCCCUCAUAAACAUCCCGUUCCCCACAUCGUGUCUCAGCAUGUGACAGAGAACCCAACGUGUUAUUGUAGAAGAAAAUGCACACCUUUUACCAUCUCAGGUCUUCCUACCAUGAAUUGCCUCCAGGUGUUAGGACUCUCUGGGUAACAAUCGGACAGUUUGAAAUAUUGCUGUUGAUGUUGCUAUAAAAGGUUCCUAUCCCCAUUUACUUAUUUAUAUAAACCAGUUUUCUCAGCAUUUGCAUCCAUAAACAUCAAACUUAGAAAAAGGUUUGGUGCUGAGCCCCGUCUCAUGCUAGCAGUAAUAUUCAUCUGUGCAUACAUGAGAAAUUGGAAAAAUUAAAUUGGAAAAAUAAAAUUGGAAAAUUUUUAUUGGAAAAAAAUAAAACCGAUCUAUCUCAUAUAGGUAUGAUUUAAACAAAAUUUUAAUUUUAUGUUUAAUAAUUAUUCAUUAAAAAUUUACAAGUAUAUUUAGGUUAUUUUAAUCGAUUUUUCCAGAAGAAAAAUACUUCUCCACUUAUGGCCUUAUGGUCAAAGGAUAUUAACUUCCAAUUUGUAUUUUUACUUAUGUUGCAGAGAAGUAGGGAAGUGUGAUGAAUAAAACACUUUAUGGUUGAGUGUGGUGAAUAAAACACAUUAUGGUUGAGUAAAAUUUUGUGGGGGAAGAGUAAUUAAAAUACAAGUUCAAGGAAGAACACCUGGGUGGCUCAGUCGGUUGAGCACCAAUUCUUGAUUUUGGCUCAGGUAGUGAUCCGAGUCGUGGGACUGAGCCCCAGGUUGGGCUCUGCGCUAAGUGAGCCUGGAGGCUGCUUAAGAUUCUGUCUCUCCCUCUGCCCCUCUCCCCUGCUCACACACUCACUCUCUCUAAAAUUAAAAAAAAUAAAAAAUAAUUUUAAAUACAAGUUCAAGGAGAAAAAAGAAGUAAAAUUUCUGUUUGUCAAAUAAGAACUUGUUUGUGUAUUCUUUUUAUGGUUGAUAGUGGUUAUCAAAUUGCUGGGGGGUCUAAAUUGUAUUGGAAUAAUGUAAUUUUUUUACUUUAAAGUAUUACCAUUUAUAGUACAUCACUAAUUACCUCCCACCCCACUCUUUUUAAAGUAGGCUCCACACCCAGAGUGGAGCCCAACACAGGGCUUGAACUCACAACCUUGAGAUUAAGACAUGAGCCAAGAUCAAGAGUCAGAUGUUCAACCAACUGAGCCACCCAGGUACCCCAUCCUUUUAAUAACUAUUAAGCCUACAAUUACAAAUUUUAGGUGUUCACUUAAAACUCUGAUGAGGUGGUACAGUUUUCCAAAAAUCUGGGGACAGGUUCACGACUACCACUGAUCUGCGCUGCCUGCUGACACCUGCAGGUAUUUCAGUCUGUGACUCCUGCUUUGGCCAAACAGUAGAACAACUCUAUGCUAAAGCCUGUGUUAAUCCUCAAGUGCGGUUUCUGAGAGGAUUAUCCUCCCCAGAUCUCUGAGGAACUAACGGCAUAUCUGCCAGGGAGGAAGGGGCUGACAUACAGAGGAGGGGUAGCUUUUUCUAAUUCUCGCAAAGGCUCUCUUUAAAGGCCAGGGCCACAGAGGAGAAUGCUCUGAUGGGCAACAGGGACUGACUUACAAAUUCCCCCAAAGAAACUUAAGAGGAACUGCUCCUUCCACAGCCUCCUCCCCACAUCCCUCCCCCUGAGCUCUCUUUCUUUCCCUUCUCUGCAUAGAUUCCACUCCAGGCGGAGGGGAAUGAGACAACUAAGGAAAAUGUGUUCACUUUGCACAAAAAUAAUAACUACAACUAUCAUAAUGACUGUUGUUUAUUGAGCGCUUACUAUGUGCCAGGUAGAAAAAUGGAUUAUCUUAAUGACCUCAGAAUUACCUGCUGGAAGGGAAUUGUCUUUUGAGAGUCUCUUCAUUAGCCCUCUUAGGAACUGGUUAUAAAAGCCAUCCAGAGGAUGCAUAGGGAAGCAAGAAAAUUUGGGGGAAAAGUUAUGACAAAUAAUAACAACCAACACCUUUAUAAAUGCUAACUAUAUGCCAGACUCUGCUCCAGGUAUUUUAUAUAUAGAAAUUCAUGAAAUUCUCACAAUCAUCCUGUUAUUAUCCUCAUUUCCAAAAGGGGGAAACUGAGAAACAGACUAAGUAAGCAACUUGCCUCAGUGCUAGUAAGCAAUUAAGUGUCGACUGGCUCCAGAGUUUGUGCUUUUAUCUAUUAUACUGUAUCUAUGCUCUUAACCACUCUACUAUGCUAUAUCAGGACUUUUUAAAUAAAACAAUAGCAAUUCAACCAAUAUGGUACUGUUUCAUCAUAGAAUGAGGAAAUACAGAUCAGAAACAGACCCACAUAUAGAAAAUUAACAAAUGAUGAUUAGGCCUCUCAAAUCAGUAGCAAAAAUAAAAACAAAUUUCUAAUUCACAUCUAAAUCAAAUUAUAUUCCAGAUGGAUCAAAUGUAUCAAAUGCAUAGAAAUGUAAAUGUAUCAGCAAUUUUAAGUUCUAGGAGAAAACAUUGGAAUAUUUUUAUAAUGUUGGCAUUUCCUUCUAGGCAUAUGGAGCACAGUAUCCAUUAAAAAAGAUUCUUUAGCUAAAUACACAGUAAAUAAAAACUUCUAUAUGGAAAAUAACACACUAUAAUCUAAGUUGGAAGAAAAACAAUAUUCUGAGAAAAUACUAUAAAUAUGUGAUAAACAAAGAGACAGAAACCAUAAUAUAUAAAGAGCCUCUAUAAAUCAACAAAGAAAAAAACCCUCAAAUUACACUUACGAAUAAGAAAAGAAAAAUACAAACAUGAAUUCACAGAAAAAUAAAUGCAAAUAGCCAGUAAAUCUAUAAAGAGAUGCACAAUCAUCUCAGAAGCCAAAGAUGUACAACAUCUUUUAAAAGGGAUAUUAUUUUAAAGAAAAAUAUUAGUAAAUAUUAAACUGUUUUGAAAAUAUGGCAGAUAGAAAACUCUAAGGCCCUGUUGGCAUAUUGGCAGUAGUGUGAAUGGCAAGCCUUUUGGAAAGAAUAUUGGCAGAAGCUAUUUCAACAGAAAAUGCGUAUUCACUGUGUUCUAGUAAUUACAGUUAUUAUAAUGAAUAAUUAUCAGGUCAUCCAUUAAAUGAAUCCAUGUUUCCCCCCUAAGUCAAAUUUCUGCAUCUCAGCCUGGUUUGCAAGGCCCUCCAUUACCUAGGCCCACCUAUCUACUUAGUGCCACUCCCGCACACCAAACUGUCAUCCAGAGCCUGACAGGUACCCAAUAACACCACCUCCUCUGGGCCUUUGCUUAUGCUACAAGAACCCUCCUUUCUUGCUUUCACCCACCCCCACUUGUUUCAAGGCCAAGUCUGAGCUCCAUCUCCUACAUGAGGUCAGGUCCUUAGCACAGCCCCUGACACUCAAUAAAUGCAAGCUUUUGUUAUUUUAAUAUUAUUAACCCUUAAGCAUCUAUUUUCUCAGGUGACACCCUAAUUCUUUUGGGUAUGUUUUCUUUACAGUGAGGUUGGAAGUUUCUGGAAGGCAAGAAAUACUUUGGGCUUCCCUUGUGAAGGCAGUACAGUUUACAGUGUUCUAAUAUCAGACAGACCUAAGUUCGACCUUGAUCUGCUAUUUUCUGCCUAUGUUUCAAGGUAUUUCACCUUUAUGCACCAGCCCAUAAUACAUGCUAAAUCAAUUAUUGUGAUGAUCAUGGUUGCUUACCUUCUCUCUGCAUACUUGUCCCCUCCCAUCGAUGCCAAAAUAGAAUCAAACCCAUGGAAAGUAGUCAGCAAACACUAGCAAGUUCAUCAGGUAGACGUCCAAAUUGUCAUGUGUUCUAUCAAAUACACUGUAAAUGACACUUUGUGUGUGUGCAUAUGUGUAUGUGCUUUUAUUCAUUUAUUCAUUCAUUCAAUCAAUCAAUUAUCCAAGAAGAACUCCUCUUAGUUUGCUUUUAAGUGAGCUAGUAACUAUUCUCAGUUUAGAGCUAGCCAAGAAUCAAUCUUGGCCUGGUUGCUAGGAAACUCUGUCUUUGGAGCAGAAGUUAAGAAUCAAUUUCCCCAUGCUUUAAAGAACUUAUAUUUAAGUAAAUGACUUCCUUAGAAAUAUUGAUUCAUUCCAAAAGCAUUUAAAUAAUAUAGAAAACAAGAGGAUUUUCAUGUGAAAUCUGCAUCUCCACAGUGAAGAAGACAUGCACUUAAAGAAAACAUAUUUACACAUAUAAUCUACAUCUUGUUCAGAGAGAAAAUAGACUUUAAUGUAGUAAUAGGACUAUUUAUGUAAUGAACUCUCAUGGGCUGUUGCAUAAAUAAUGAAUCCUGAACUGUACAAAUGUUUUUAUGUGAAAAGUGCCUUUGUGAACUUUCAUAAAAAUUUGCUCCUGUAAUUAUAUCAAAGUCUGAAUUUGCAUGAACAAAUGAAGCUCUGUGAAGAGACAUGAAGACAUUUUCUAAUGGAAACACCAUAAUUCGAAGCACAUUUUCUCAAAAGAUGUGUUUUGAAAAUGCUCGCGCCUCCUCACGGCUUCAAUGUCUUGCAAAGGAUUCUCUUGGUCAGCAACUGGCUUCACCAGCACUCUCGGACAUCAGCAAGCCCCUUUCCAGGGAGGGAUGCCAGCCAGCCUGUGAAAUAUUUCUACAAGAACUUUUGGCUGCCUGAACUGCCUAAAGCAAAUGUUUGUUUGCUGCAGUACGUGAAUCAAAUGCUUUUGUGUGAAAACACUUGCUAGAGAAACAAAUGUUUGUUUUGGUAAUCGACAUUUGGACUGUUGGAACAUUACCACUUAAGAUAUUGGUUUGAGAAAUAUACAUUUAAUUUGGAAAGCACCAGUUAGGAUCGGGCAUGUGACACAAAUCUAGGCUGUAAGGAAAUGAGGUUGAAAUUGGACCCCAAUAUUUCACUUCCCCUUGUCAGAUCCGACUAGGAAAAUGGUGCCUUGUUUGACAUGUUGCUGUAUAAUGUUACUGAGCAACAGCAUAAAGGAAAAAAAGUGAUUUACUUCCUUCUAGAAGUGUAUGACUUAUAAAUUAUCAAAGAUAGCAGCAAGAGUGUAUUUAUCUAGUAUUAAUAUUUAAAUGCUAUCUUCCUAUUGAAUGUACCACAUGCUCCAUAUUAAUCUUUUAGAUUAGACUUAGUACAAAUUGAUGUUUCCUAAAUGGAAGAUUUCUCCUUACAGUUCACUUUUGAUUAUCCAUGCUAACUGGCAGGAGGGAAGGUACAGAUACCCCAAAACAGCAGGUGAUACAGAAAUAAGCUUUGGCUUCAGAGAGCAUUAAAUUUUUUAGUAGCAGAAAGAAACUAAUUACAUUUUAAGGGAGGAAGAUAUUCAGAAGGGAGUUUGAUGGCAAGAGGGUAGUUUUUUUUUUUAAUGUUUAUUUAUUUUUGAGAGAAAGAGGCAGAGUGUGAGCAGGGGAGGGGCUAGAAAGAGAAGGAGACACAGAAUGUGAAGCAGGCUCCAGGCUCUGAGCUGUCAGCACAAAGCCCGAUACAGGGCUCGAACUCACGGACUGUGAGAUCAUGAUCUGAGCCAAAGUCAGUUGCUUAACCAACUGAGCCACCCAGGCGCCCUGAAGGUAGUUUUUAUUUUAAAUAUAUUUGGUCACAGAAAACCCAUAAAUAGAAACUCAAGCAAUGAUAUACUGAGGUCUAGUCUAAAUACUAGAGCACAAACAUUUUUUAAUUAAGUAUUUUAUUUAUUUCCUCAUACAUUUUAAGUAUAUUUUUAGUUCUGACAAAUGCCAGGAUUAUAUGUAAAUGCAUUUGAAUUUUUUUUUACCACUAUGUUUAAGUGCUUCUCUUUUGUGAAAAUUAACUGCAGGAUCCAGGUUCAUCUGAACAUGUAUGAGCUGAAACCUAUAAUCAAAUCACUAUGUACUUAAUAAUAAAAUAAAAUUAUAGCCCACA